AAGGUCCCAGGCCGGGGUUGGAGUGUGGAAAAUUACGGGGGGCAGACCCAGUGCAACAGAUCUACUUCAGUCUUGUCUCAUAGCCAGAGAAUGCAAACUAUGCUCUCAUCCAGAAUGGGUUUAGAGUCAUGAUUGUGAAGCAUGUCGAUGCUUCUGGGUUCCCGGCGCAGUUCAUAAUUGGAGAAAGACCGACGCCGCUGCUCCACUCCUUCUCAGGGGUCGGGAGAGCUGAGGCCGGAGUGAAAAGAGAGUCAGCUGCCGCCACCUCGGAUUCCUUAGGCGGCCUUGGCCAAGUCAACUUUUCUCAGUCGUAAAACAAAGGCUCUGACCUCCAGCGCUCUCCACUGCACCGUGGAGAGAUGAGACGUUUCUGGGAUCCUUGAAGUCACUUAACGCAAGGGAUGCUACACGGGGAAAUUAACACAUGGCGCCUUGAAGACGGAACGGGACCCCUCCGACCUUUCUGUGGUAGGCAGAGCGCUCUGGCUUGCUGGUGUGAGAGUAAAGCUACAUUGUGAGGGAGCGGAAGGGCCCAGAAGAGCACAUCUCCACUGAAGUGGCUGGAAAAGGAACAUGAGUGCCGGAAACCAAGACAGAAGCUGUACGUGCUCGGGGCUCUCCGCUAGAUUGACAGAUUCCUGCUGGCAUAGAAGAGUGGAGAUUACCCCAGGA